rnacentral:rRNA from 1 species
UACAGAGGGUGCGAGCGUUGUUCGGAAUCAUUGGGCGUAAAGCGCUUGUAGGCGGCCUGUCAAGUCGCGUGUGAAAUCCCUUGGCUUAACCAAGGAAGUGCGCGCGAAACUGGCGGGCUUGAGUGCCGGAGAGGGUGGCGGAAUUCCCCAAGUAGAGGUGAAAUUCGUAGAUAUGGGGAGGAACACCGGUGGCGAAGGCGGCCACCUGGACGGUAACUGACGCUGAGACGCGAAAGCGUGGGGAGCAAACAGG